CUCAGAUUGAACGCUGGCGGCAUGCCUUACACAUGCAAGUCGAACGGCAGCACGGGAGCAAUCCUGGUGGCGAGUGGCGAACGGGUGAGUAAUAUAUCGGAACGUGCCCAGUCGUGGGGGAUAACGUAGCGAAAGUUACGCUAAUACCGCAUACGAUCUAAGGAUGAAANCGGGGGAUCGCAAGACCUCGCGCGAUUGGAGCGGCCGAUAUCAGAUUAGGUAGUUGGUGGGGUAAAGGCUCACCAAGCCAACGAUCUGUAGCUGGUCUGAGAGGACGACCAGCCACACUGGAACUGAGACACGGUCCAGACUCCUACGGGAGGCAGCAGUGGGGAAUUUUGGACAAUGGACGAAAGUCUGAUCCAGCCAUUCCGCGUGCAGGAUGAAGGCCCUCGGGUUGUAAACUGCUUUUGUACGGAACGAAAAGGUUUCUCUUAAUACGAGGAGCUCAUGACGGUACCGUAAGAAUAAGCACCGGCUAACUACGUG
rnacentral:rRNA from 1 species